ACUUGGUGUUGAGAGUGGCGCACGGGUGAGUAACACGAGUUUACCUGCCCUCAAGACGGGGAUAACCGGCGGAAACGUAGGCUAAUACCCGAUAAGCUCACGGACUGUAGAGGUCUGUGAGAAAAGCUCAGGUGCUUGAGGAGGGGGCUGCGGCCCAUCAGCUAGUUGGUAAGGUAACGGCUUACCAAGGCGAAGACGGGUAGGGGACCUGAGAGGGUGACCCCCCACACUGGGACUGAGACACGGCCCAG
rnacentral:rRNA from 1 species